UUUUUUUUUUUUUGCGACAUACGGAAGUUGCUAGGGCAACUUCACCUACAGACAAUGGCUCUUAUUUUUACUUUCUUAUAGAUGACCUUUCUUCUUUUUACAACUGCUUUUUUUUCUUUUUUUCCAGCAUUGCUGGUGACAGUUUCACAUGCCUUUGACUUAAAUCUCUCUAUUCUCUUUCUUUUUCAAGGGUGUGGGGGAAAGUUUGAGAUGUGUGGGUGUUUUUUUGUUUGUUUUUGUUUUUUUUUUUUGGUUUGUUGGAGUUUUGGUUUUUUUUUUUUUACUUUCAACAAUUUGCUGUUUCCAGGGAGGGGGAGAGACACGGUAUGCACAGACAAGACAAGAACAUGUGAAACCAAGGAAGUUUUAAGCAUAUUUGAGCUCCAUUUUGGAGUAUGAAUUGAUAUAUAAUCAGAUUCCAGAAAGGAAGACAGAAGACAAGGAGAAAUAAAGACUGAGUCUUACCUGUUCAGAUUUUGCCCAAAUGUAGAAAGGAGCAUUUUGCUCCAUCCAGUUUGCAUUUCACUAUUGCUCAGGUUGUCCCAUCAGAAUUUUAAGGAUCCCAAUUUACACAGAUCAAGCCAGGGAGGUGAUUUCGUUUACAAUUUCUCUCUCCCCAUCUCUUCAAGAGCAAAAUAUUAGAUGAAGGUGUUCUAUCGUGAGAAUUAAAACUUUCCAUGUGUUACUUAUUUAAUGAAAAAAAAAUCCUAUAGUUUUGGAAACCUGUUUCCUGAUUAGUGGCCCAUGGAUAGACAUUUGAAGAACAACUAUUUUCCUUCCUCCUCCCCCUUUUUCUUUAGUUCUGAAGAAUGUUAAAACAAAAUAACACAAAUCAGUCGUUUGGGAAAUAUAGUUUUAUCUUCAAGUAUAAUUAUCACUAGUGGCACAUCAUGACAGAAAAAUAAAUACUAUCUCUCAUUCCAUUCGUUCUGUGACUACAAUGCUAUAAAAUCUCUUUUAUCUUUUUUUUCUGGGGGACUUUUCCACUCACUUAGCUUCAUGGCUUUUAAAUUUAACCUAAGUUUUUGCAGCAGUUGCUCUGCUCAGGAUGAUAAGGGCUUGCUUUUCGGGCUCAGUUGUUUUAAUAUGAACCUUCUCCAACUUGUGUCACAAAUUCGAGAUGGAGGUCUCUGUUUAUAUGUCUGAUAUAAGUUGUUGGGGGGAGGUGUAAUGGAGAGUUCCAGAGGGAGAGCAAAUAGUUAAGGUUUAUAAAAAUCAGGCACACUUUGACAGGAGGAGAAUAAAUAGUUCUGAAAGAAAUUUAUAGUAAAAGAUUGGGUCAGGGUUGGGAAAACAAAUUUGUAGUGGUGCUGGUCUGUAGCACAGUAGGGGGAGGGGGUAAAGUGUGUCCAAGAUCACCACUCCAAGAAACAGCGUAUUUGAAACAGCUAUUUAAAACUUUUCCUGAUUGUUACCUUUAAACCGAUUAAACCAGCAGGCAAGUGCUUGAGCAAUUUUUCAAACUCGGGCAGCACCCAAUCCUCCUUCAGCGAAUUCCUGAUGGACACUAGCUAUGUAUUUGCAAUGUAUCUACUCUCUCCCUCUUCAAUGGUAGCGUUAGACAAGGUUGUUCACAUUUUAUUUACAUAGAUUUUUUUAAGGUGGGGAGAAAAGAGGAGAAUAUGUAGUUUAUUUUCAAACACUGCCCUAACGUGCUAUGUAACUGGUAGAAACUUUCUAGUUUCUGGCUUUGAUUGAGCUCAAAUCCUUCAAGAAAACGAACUUUGUAAGGAGGUUUGCUUGUGAAACUACUAACCACGUCUUCUCUAGAUUAGGGCGAUGGAAGGGAAUUGGGAUACAGGUAUCACCCCUUUGGCAAUACAAGGUUGCUUCCCCACCCCCUUCCUCCUGCAUUUCUCCGGAUAAUUGCCCUCCCUCCCCUCACUAAAUUGCUAUUCUCAG
rnacentral:lncRNA from 1 species